AUACAGGAAUUAGCUGUCUGUUUUUAUACGACUGCAAAAAAAUUUUGCGGUCGUAUAUUGGUAUGGCGUCAGCGUCGUUGUCCGAAGACACAUUGGUUUUCGCACUCUAACUUUAGUUAAAGUGAAUGGAUCUCUAUGAAAUUUUACCAUAAGGUUCAAUACCACAAAAGGAAAGUUGGGAUUGAUUUUGGGGGUUAUGGUACUAACAGUUAAGGAAUUAGGGGCCAAAAAUAAGCAUUUUUGUAACUUCCAGACAUAACUUGUGUGUUAGUGUAUGGAUCUCUUUGACAUUGUACCACAAGGUUCCAUAUCACAAAGGGAAUGCUUGGAUUGAUUUUGGGGGUAAUUGCCUCCACAUUUUAGGAAUUAGGAGCCAAAAAAGGGGCAAAAACAAGCAUUUUUCUAGUUUCAUGACAAUAACUUGUGUGUAAGUGUAUGGAUCUUUAUGAAAUUGUACUACAAGGUUCCAUAUCACAAAGGGAAAGCUGGAAUUGAGUUUGGGGGUAAUUGCCUAAAACGUUUAGGAAUAAGGGGCCAAAAAUAAGCAUUUUUCUAGUUUCCAGACAAUAACUUGUGUUCAAGUGUAUGGAUCUCUCUGAAAUUGUACUGCAAGGUACCAUACUACAAAGGGAAGGCUAGGAUUGAUUUUGGGGGUUAUUGCCUCAAAAUUUUAGGAAUAAGGGGCCAAAAAGGGGCAAAAAAUCAAGCAUUUUUCUAGUUUCAGGACAAAAACUUGUGCGUAAGUGUAUGGAUCUUUAUGAAAUUGUACUACAAGGUUCCAUAUCACAAAGGGAAAGCUGGGUUUGAGUUUGGGGGUAAUUGCCCUAAACGUUUAGGAAUUUGGGGCCAAAAAGGGGCAAAAAAACAAGCAUUUUUCUAGUUUCAUGACAAUAAUUUGUGUGUAAGUGUAUGGAUCUCUCUGACAUUGUAUCACAAGGUUCCAUAUCACAAAGGGAAUGCUGGGAUUGAUUUUGGGGGUAAUUGCCUCCAAAUUUAAGGAAUUAGGGGCCAAAAAGGGGCAAAAAACAAGCAUUUUUCUAGUUUCAUGACAAAAACUUGUGUGUAAGUGUAUGGAUCUCUCUGACAUUGUACCACAAGAUUCCAUAUCACAAAGGGAAUGCUGGGAUUGAUUUUGGGGGUAAUUGCCUCCAAAUUUUAGGAAUUAGGGGCCAAAAAGGGGCAAAAAACAAGUAUUUUUCUAGUUUCAUGACAAUAACUUGUGUGUAAGUGUAUGGAUCUUUAUGGAAUUGUACUGCAAGGUUCCAUAUCACAAAGGGAAAGCUGGAAUUGAGUUUGGGGGUAAUUGCCUAAAACGUUUAGGAAUAAGGGGCCAAAAAUAAGCAUUUUUCUAGUUUCCAGACAAUAACUUGUGUUCAAGUGUAUGGAUCUCUCUGAAAUUGUACUGCAAGGUACCAUACUACAAAGGGAAGGCUAGGAUUGAUUUUGGGGGUUAUUGCCUCAAAAUUUUAGGAAUAAGGGGCCAAAAAGGGGCAAAAAAUCAAGCAUUUUUCUAGUUUCAGGACAAAAACUUGUGCGUAAGUGUAUGGAUCUUUAUGAAAUUGUACUACAAGGUUCCAUAUCACAAAGGGAAAGCUGGGUUUGAGUUUGGGGGUAAUUGCCCUAAACAUUUAGGAACUUGGGGCCAAAAAGGGGCCAAAAAACAAGCAUUUUUAUACGACCGCAAACAAAAUUUUGUGGUCGUAUAUUGGUAUGACGUUGGCGUCGUCGUCCUCAUCCGAAGACACAUUGGUUUUCGCACUCUAACUUUAGUUUAAGUGAAUGGAUCUCUAUGAUAUUUUACCAUAAGGUUCAAUACCACAAAAGGAAGGUGGGGAUUGAUUUUGGGGGUUAUGGUACCAACAGUUAAGGAAAAAGGGGCCAAAAAUAAGCAUUUUUGUAACUUCCAGACAUCACUUGUGUGUUAGUGUAUGGAUCUCUCUGACAUUGUACCACAAGGUUCCAUAUCACAAAGGGAAUGCUGGGAUUGAUUUUGGGGGUAAUUGCCUCCAAAUUUUAGGAAUUAGGGGCCAAAAAGGGGCAAAAAACAAGCAUUUUUCUAGUUUCAUGACAAUAACUUGUGUGUAAGUGUAUGGAUCUCUCUGACAUUGUACCACAAGGUUCCAUAUCACAAAGGGAAUGCUGGGAUUGAUUUUGGGGGUAAUUGCCUCCAGAUUUAAGGAAUUAGGGGCCAAAAAGGGGCAAAAAACAAGCAUUUUUCUAGUUUCAUGACAAAAACUUGUGUGUAAGUGUAUGGAUCUCUCUGACAUUGUACCACAAGAUUCCAUAUCACAUAGGGAAUGCUGGGAUUGAUUUUGGGGGUAAUUGCCUCCAAAUUUUAGGAAUUAGGGGCCAAAAAGGGGCAAAAAACAAGUAUUUUUCUAGUUUCAUGACAAUAACUUGUGUGUAAGUGUAUGGAUCUUUAUGGAAUUGUACUGCAAGGUUCCAUAUCACAAAGGGAAAGCUGGGUUUGAGUUUGGGGGUAAUUGCCCUAAACGUUUAGGAAUUUGGGGCCAAAAAGGGGCAAAAAAACAAGCAUUUUUCUAGUUUCAUGACAAUAAUUUGUGUGUAAGUGUAUGGAUCUCUCUGACAUUGUAUCACAAGGUUCCAUAUCACAAAGGGAAUGCUGGGAUUGAUUUUGGGGGUAAUUGCCUCCAAAUUUAAGGAAUUAGGGGCCAAAAAGGGGCAAAAAACAAGCAUUUUUCUAGUUUCAUGACAAAAACUUGUGUGUAAGUGUAUGGAUCUCUCUGACAUUGUACCACAAGAUUCCAUAUCACAAAGGGAAUGCUGGGAUUGAUUUUGGGGGUAAUUGCCUCCAAAUUUUAGGAAUUAGGGGCCAAAAAGGGGCAAAAAACAAGUAUUUUUCUAGUUUCAUGACAAUAACUUGUGUGUAAGUGUAUGGAUCUUUAUGGAAUUGUACUGCAAGGUUCCAUAUCACAAAGGGAAAGCUGGAAUUGAGUUUGGGGGUAAUUGCCGAAACGUUUAGGAAUUGGGGGCCAAAAAGGGGCUAAAAAUAAGCAUUUUUCUAGUUUCCAGACAAUAACUUGUGUUCAAGUGUAUGGAUCUCUCUGAAAUUGUACUGCAAGGUACCAUACCACAAAGGGAAGGCUGGGAUUGAUGAUGGGGGUAAUUGCCUCAAUAUUUUAGGAAUUAGGGGCCAGAAAGGGGCAAAAAACAAGCAUUUUUCUAGUUUCAGGACAAUAACUUGUGUGUAAGUGUAUGGAUCUUUCUGAAAUUGUACCACAAGGUUCCAUAUCACAAAGGGAAAGCUGGAAUUGAGUUUGGGGGUAAUUGCCCUAAACGUUUAGGAAUUUGGGGCCAAAAAGGGGCCAAAAAACACAUUUUUCUAGUUUCCAGACAAUAACUUGUGUUCAAGUUUAUGGAUCACUCUGAAAUUGUACUGCAAGGUACCAUACCACAAAGGGAAGGCUGGGAUUGAGUUUGGGGGUGAUGAAUCAUAAGGGGGUUCAAAAAAUUUGGGGGGGGAUUUUUUUUUUUUUUCCUUUUUUUUCCUUUUUUUCCUUUUUUUUUCUUUUAAAAUUUUCCAUUUUAAGUUGGUUAUUUCUGAUUUAUAUUUAAAAGCAAAUAAUAAUGAUAUGGUAGGAGAUACACACCAAACAGGAUGUGUAAAUUAUUAUAUAAUAAGUAUUGUGCAAUAGCAAGAAAUUUUCAAUUGCACAGUAUUGCACAAUAGCAAGAAAUCUUCAAUUGCACAGUAUUGUGCAAUAGCAAGAAAUCUUCAAUUGCACAGUAUUGCGCAAUAGCAAGAAAUAUCCAAUAGCACAAUAUUGCGCAAUAGCAAGAAAUUGUCAAUUUUACAGUAUUGCGCAAUAGCAAGAAAUAUUUAAUUGCACAGUAUUGUGCAAAAGAAGAUACUUCGUAUAAAUUGCUUAUUUCUUGACCAAUUUCAAUGGGGUUUUAUUCUUGAAUUCUUGGGGUUCUUUAAUAUGCUGAAUCUAACCGUGUAUUUAGUUUUUGGAUUUUGGGCCCCGUUUUUAAAUUGGUCCACAUUGGGGUCAAAAGGAUCCAAAAUUAAACUUUGUUUGAUUUCAUCAAAAAUUGAAUUAUUGGGGUUCUUUGAUAUGCCGAAUCUAACCGUGAAUUUAGAUUCUUAAUUUUUGGUUCCAUUUUCAAAUUGGUCUACAUUAAGGUCCAAAGGGUCCAAAAUUAAACUUAGUUUGAUUUUAACAAAAAUUGAAUUCUUAGGGUUCUUUGAUAUGCUGAAUCUAAACAUGUAUUUAGAUUUUUGAUUAUGGGCCCAGUUUUCAAGUUGGUCCAAAUCGGGGUCCAAAAUUAAACUUUGUUUGAUUUCAACAAAAAUUGAAUAUAUGGGGUUCUUUGAUAUGCUGAAUCUAACCAUGUACUUAGAUUUUUGAUUUUUGGGCCCCGUUAUCAACUUUGUCCACAUUGAGGUAAAAAGGGUCCAAAAUUAAACUUUGUUUGAUUUCAUCAAAAAAUGAAUUCUUGGGGUUCUUUGAUAUGCUGAAUCUAACCAUGUAUUUAGAUUUUGGAUAUUGGACCAUAAUAGGUGAAUGUCCAAUUUAAAAUUUUUAAGUUCUUAGACCACAUUCAUUCUGUGUCAGAAACCUAUGCUGUGUCAAAUAUUUAAUCACAAUCCAAAUGCAAAGCUGUAUCAAGCUUGAAUGGUGUGUCCAUGGAGUGAAUGGAUCUCCAUGAAAUUUUACCAUAAGGUUCUAUACCACGAAAGGAAGGUUGGGAUUGAUUUUGGGGGUUAUGGUACCAACAGUUAAGGAAUUAGGGGCCGAAAAGGGGCCAAAAAUAAGCAUUUUUGUAACUUCCAGACAAUAACUUGUGUGUAAGUGUAUGGAUCUCUCUGACAUUGUACCACAAGGUUCCAUAUCACAAAGGGAAGGUUGUAAUUGAUUUUGGGGGUAAUUGCCUCAAAAUUUUAGGAAUUAGGGGCUAAAAAAGGGGCAAAAAACAAGCAUUUUUCUAGUUUCAUGACAAUAACUUGUGUGUAAGUGUUUGGAUAUUUCUGAAAUUGUACUACAAGGUUCCAUAUCACAAAGGGAAAGCUGGAAUUGAAUUUGUGGGUAAUUGCCCGAAACGUUUAGGAAUUUGGGGCCAAAAAUAAGCAUUUUUCUAGUUUCCAGACAAUAACUUGUGUUCAAGUGUAUGGAUCUCUCUGAAAUUGUACUGCAAGGUACCAUACCACAAAGGGAAGGCUGGGAUUGAGUUUGGGGGUGAUGAAUCAUAAGGGGGUUCAAAAAAUUAGGGGGGGGGGGUUUCUUUUUUUUUCUUUUUUUCCUUUUUUUUUUCUUUUAAAAUUUUCCAUUUUAAGUUGGUUAUUUCUGAUUUAUAUUUAAAAGCAAAUAAUAAUGAUAUGGUAGGAGAUACACACCAAACAGGAUGUGUAAAUUAUUAUAUAAUAAGUAUUGUGCAAUAGCAAGAAAUUUUCAAUUGCACAGUAUUGCACAAUAGCAAGAAAUCUUCAAUUGCACAGUAUUGCGCAAUAGCAUGAAAUCUUCAAUUGCACAGUAUUGGGCAAUAGCAAGAAAUAUCCAAUAGCACAAUAUUGCGCAAUAGCAAGAAAUUGUCAAUUGUAAAGUAUUGCGCAAUAGCAAGAAAUAUUCAAUUG